GAUGAACGCUGGCGGCGUGCCUAAUACAUGCAAGUCGAGCGAACAGACGAGGAGCUUGCUCCUCUGACGUUAGCGGCGGACGGGUGAGUAACACGUGGAUAUCCUACCUAUAAGACUGGGAUAACUUCGGGAAACCGGAGCUAAUACCGGAUAAUAUAUUGAACCGCAUGGUUCAAUAGUGAAAGACGGUUUUGCUGUCACUUAUAGAUGGAUCCGCGCCGCAUUAGCUAGUUGGUAAGGUAACGGCUUACCAAGGCAACGAUGCGUAGCCGACCUGAGAGGGUGAUCGGCCACACUGGAACUGAGACACGGUCCAGACUCCUACGGGAGGCAGCAGUAGGGAAUCUUCCGCAAUGGGCGAAAGCCUGAUGGAGCAACGCCGCGUGAGUGAUGAAGGUCUUCGGAUCGUAAAACUCUGUUAUUAGGGAAGAACAAAUGUGUAAGUAACUAUGCACGUCUUGACGGUACCUAAUCAGAAAGCCACGGCUAACUACGUG
rnacentral:rRNA from 1 species